UCUAUUGCUUAGGACACAACAAGUAAGGCGUGGUGGCUAUGUCACAUGCAUGUCGUCAGUAGGUGGCAGAGAGGAGAGGCUAUGUCUAUGCCCAGUGUUCUGACCUAUGAAUAUCUGAAUGUCUGAAAAAAUU